rnacentral:rRNA from 1 species
UACAGAGGUCUCAAGCGUUGUUCGGAUUCAUUGGGCGUAAAGCGCACGUAGGCGGCUUUGUAAGUUAGAGGUGAAAGCCCAGGGCUCAACCCUGGAAUUGCCUUUAAGACUGCAUCGCUUGAACAUCGGAGAGGUAAGUGGAAUUCCGAGUGUAGAGGUGAAAUUCGUAGAUAUUCGGAAGAACACCAGUGGCGAAGGCGACUUACUGGACGAUUGUUGACGCUGAGGUGCGAAAGCGUGGGGAGCAAACAGG